CGCUGGCGGCGUGCCUAAUACAUGCAAGUCGAACGAGUUCUCGUUGAUGAUCGGUGCUUGCACCGAGAUUCAACAUGGAACGAGUGGCGGACGGGUGAGUAACACGUGGGUAACCUGCCCUUAAGUGGGGGAUAACAUUUGGAAACAGAUGCUAAUACCGCAUAGAUCCAAGAACCGCAUGGUUCUUGGCUGAAAGAUGGCGUAAGCUAUCGCUUUUGGAUGGACCCGCGGCGUAUUAGCUAGUUGGUGAGGUAAUGGCUCACCAAGGCGAUGAUACGUAGCCGAACUGAGAGGUUGAUCGGCCACAUUGGGACUGAGACACGGCCCAAACUCCUACGGGAGGCAGCAGUAGGGAAUCUUCCACAAUGGACGCAAGUCUGAUGGAGCAACGCCGCGUGAGUGAAGAAGGCUUUCGGGUCGUAAAACUCUGUUGUUGGAGAAGAAUGGUCGGCAGAGUAACUGUUGUCGGCGUGACGGUAUCCAACCAGAAAGCCACGGCUAACUACGUGCCAGCAGCCGCGGUAAUACGUAGGUGGCAAGCGUUAUCCGGAUUUAUUGGGCGUAAAGCGAGCGCAGGCGGUUUUUUAAGUCUGAUGUGAAAGCCCUCGGCUUAACCGAGGAAGCGCAUCGGAAACUGGGAAACUUGAGUGCAGAAGAGGACAGUGGAACUCCAUGUGUAGCGGUGAAAUGCGUAGAUAUAUGGAAGAACACCAGUGGCGAAGGCGGCUGUCUGGUCUGUAACUGACGCUGAGGCUCGAAAGCAUGGGUAGCGAACAGGAUUAGAUACCCUGGUAGUCCAUGCCGUAAACGAUGAAUGCUAGGUGUUGGAGGGUUUCCGCCCUUCAGUGCCGCAGCUAACGCAUUAAGCAUUCCGCCUGGGGAGUACGACCGCAAGGUUGAAACUCAAAGGAAUUGACGGGGGCCCGCACAAGCGGUGGAGCAUGUGGUUUAAUUCGAAGCAACGCGAAGAACCUUACCAGGUCUUGACAUCUUUUGAUCACCUGAGAGAUCAGGUUUCCCCUUCGGGGGCAAAAUGACAGGUGGUGCAUGGUUGUCGUCAGCUCGUGUCGUGAGAUGUUGGGUUAAGUCCCGCAACGAGCGCAACCCUUAUGACUAGUUGCCAGCAUUUAGUUGGGCACUCUAGUAAGACUGCCGGUGACAAACCGGAGGAAGGUGGGGAUGACGUCAAAUCAUCAUGCCCCUUAUGACCUGGGCUACACACGUGCUACAAUGGAUGGUACAACGAGUUGCGAGACCGCGAGGUCAAGCUAAUCUCUUAAAGCCAUUCUCAGUUCGGACUGUAGGCUGCAACUCGCCUACACGAAGUCGGAAUCGCUAGUAAUCGCGGAUCAGCACGCCGCGGUGAAUACGUUCCCGGGCCUUGUACACACCGCCCGUCACACCAUGAGAGUUUGUAACACCCGAAGCCGGUGGCGUAACCCUUUUAGGGAGCGAGCCGUCUAAGGUGGGACAAAUGA
rnacentral:rRNA from 2 species